rnacentral:rRNA from 1 species
ACACGUAGGAGGCAAGCGUUAUCCGGAUUUACUGGGCGUAAAGCGCGUGCAGGCGGUCUGGUAAGUUGGAUGUGAAAGCUCCCGGCUCAACUGGGAGAGGUCGUUCAAAACUGCCGGACUCGAGGACGGUAGAGGGAGGUGGAAUUCCCGGUGUAGUGGUGAAAUGCGUAGAUAUCGGGAGGAACACCAGUGGCGAAGGCGGCCUCCUGGGCCGUUCCUGACGCUAAGACGCGAAAGCGUGGGGAGCGAACGGGAUUAGAAACCCUAGUAGUCC